AGUAAAGACGGCAAGGUCAGCAAACGCCUGGAAUUUGUUACCCACGUUGCAUUCACCACCCGUCGGGGCUGAUACUGUUUGUUUUCAUCCAGAAAAGGGUCACCUGAUAAGAGAAAGAACGUUGUGACUGAUAAGACCCAAUCAGGAGGUGUUCCUCCUGAAUGCAGAUCACCAGGCUCAGACAGACGCCGCGGCAAAAACUCACAAUUUCAGAGAGACAGCAGAUGUACUGAUGCGUGUGUUAAAGAAAAGAGCUAAUACAAUGAACAAGAAAGACAGAGUCUGUGGGGCAGAAGUCAGCUGUCAUUUCAGCACCGUGAUCAUUCUGUGACACCACCGCCACCCGUUCUCCACCGCAACCAUGGACACCAGAUCAUCUCCAGUCAAACCAUCCGAUCAGAGGUUUCCCUCAUGAAGACGUCCCCAUCCUCCAGUUCCACUCCUCAUCACCAGCACCAGUGUCUACACUCCGGGGGAAGAUUCCUCGUAGUAGAAGGACCUUAAACCUACAGACCUCUCCCAUGGUGCUUCACUUCCUAAGCGACAAAGUCUCUUCCCUCUGUUCACAAUGAA